GAUGAAGAACGCAGCGAAAUGCGAUACUUGGUGUGAAUUGCAGAAUCCCGUGAACCAUCGAGUCUUUGAACGCAAGUUGCGCCCGAAGCCAUUAGGCCGAGGGCACGCCUGCCUGGGCGUCACACGUCGUUGCCCCCCCCAUCUACUCCUUCGGGAUUGCGGGGGGCGGAUGAUGGCCUCCCGUGCGCCUCGCCGCGCGGUUGGUAUAAAUGCCAAGUCCUCGGCGACGCACGCCACGACAAUCGGUGGUUGCGAAACCUCGGUUGCCCGUCGUGUGCGGUCGUCGCGCAUCGAGGGCUCGGCUUUCAACGCGACCCCAGGUCAGGCGGGGUUACCCGCUGAAUUUAAGCAUAUCAAUAAGCGGAGGA
rnacentral:misc_RNA from 1 species